rnacentral:rRNA from 1 species
AACGAACGCUGGCGGCAGGCCUAACACAUGCAAGUCGAACGCUCGUAGCAAUACGAGAGUGGCAGACGGGUGAGUAACACGUGGGAACCUUCCCUAUGGUUCGGAAUAGCUCAGGGAAACUUGAGGUAAUACCGGAUAAGCCCUUCGGGGAAGGAUUAUCGCCAUGGAUGGGCCCGCGUCGGAUUAGCUAGUUGGUGAGGUAACGGCUCACCAAGGCGGCGGAUCCGUAGCUGGUCUGAGAGGA